rnacentral:lncRNA from 1 species
UAAAGGCUGCUACGACUGCGGAGAGGAGACGUCGCCUCUGAGCGCAGAUAGAAAACAAAAAUAAGACGGCGGAAGGGAAUACUAACGUCUCAGGACCCACAGCUCUCGUAAACAGGCUCGGAACUUGAGUUAAAAAGGAAAAUUCAGUCUCCCGGGUUCUUGCCCGUGACCUGCCCGCCGGACCCUCUGGAUCACCAUGACAACCAGAAAACGCCUCCUCCCCAUCAGCAGGUCCCUGGAACGGACCCCCGCACCCACGGAAACUAGCAUCCCAACUGACCACACUUGGUAGAGGUGCUGAGGCUAGAAGCCACCAACAACGAAGGUCUUCCCACAAAAAUGUCACCCCAAGCCAGACUGGACAGCCUCCACUCCCAAAGGAUUCAAAACUCUCUUGGUCUUUACUAGGUUAUAGAUGCGGACAGAAAAGAUACAUCAUUGUCUUAAGUCAGAAAACAGGUUUUUGGUUUUGUUUUUUGCCCUGUAAAACUCGUACACUGAGAGGUCCCUGAAUGUUUUUCCUCUGAAAGCCUCACCUUGUUACGCUGCCUGCAAAACAAGCAGCUUCACUUCAACCGUGUCUCUUCCGCGUCUGUUUUGUUAACACACCUCUCCUUUGAAAUGAUACCUGGGAAAGAAAAAAAAAAAAAAAUGGAGAGAACGUUCCUCUGGGAAGGGGCUUGCUCCUUACAGGAACUUUUAAAGGUCAUUUCUCCCUUAAUAUAUUUAUUUUAGCAUCCAUUGGCAAGUGAUAGAAGAGAAAUGGACACCGAGCUGGAUCAUCACGCAGAAUGUUCUAUCAGUUUAUUAGUGUGUCCAGGAAAUUCACAGCUGGCAUAGGUUGUAUCCUCCAGAGGGGUAACAGUUCAACCAAAACCUAAUCUGAAGGAUCUCACAGGAGAUACGUUCUCCAGGGAGAAAUUUUUAUCACUAAACAAGGCAAUUCUUGCUGGUACUAAUUAUCCAAAAAUAAUGUUGUUGAUUUUAACGUCAUUCCCUCUUUUUUUUUUUUUUCCUUACUGUCUUUUUAGGGUGGUUCCUGCUGCAUAUGGAAGUUCCCCAGCUAGGGGUCAAAUCAGAGCUGUAGCUACCAGCCUCGCCAUAGCUCACAGCAAUGCCAGAUCAUUAACCCACUAACUGAGGCUGGGAGGUGAACCCACAUCCUCGUGGAUACUAGUUGGGUUCAUUAUUACUGAGCCACAAUGGAAACUCCCAUUCACAAUCUUUAAAAAAAAAAAAAAUGGCCAUUGCUAGAUAUGAAUUCUGGGUUCUACUCAACCUGGGGCCAUGACUGAGAACAUCUUGUCCUCAGGGAUCCCUGGUGGCUCAGCUGGUUAAGGAUCUGGCAUUGUCAGUGGCUCUGGCGGGGUUGCUGCUGUGGCGCGGGUUCGAUCCCUGGCCGGGCAAUUUCCACAUGCUGUGGGUAUGGCCGAAAAAGAGAGAAAAGCAUCAUGUCCUCAAUGCCAGCCCUGCACUUGCUAUAAUGAACGGCUGCUGAAUUAAAUGUCGAAUAAAUAAACACCAGGUUCAUGCCAAGAAGCCGCAUAAGUGCACACACUCAGUUAAUUUACCCUGCUGUUGUUAUUCACCACAUUAACCAGCCUCCUAGAGUUCCCCAUCUAGACCCCCAAGAAAGACGGAGAGAGACCGAAAGCUAAGAGGAACAGGAAGGAAGCCUAAAGCCCAGUGGGAGGUCGGCUGGUCCCAGCACCAAGCCGUCAGCAUUUCCAUCUGUGCUUCUCUUGCACGCCUCUGCCUAUCCUGGGCUACCGGGCAACCUGGGAGAGGAGGAAAAUACAGAGCCAAGGCGGGACCGCUGAGUAGUCUUACCUACCCGAAAGGACUCCUGUGGCGAUUGCAUCAACCCACGGCGUCCAAGGUGUUUCUCACCCUGUGACUCACAGCUGUUUCCUGAGGGUUCGGUAUGCGCUGGACCCAAGCCUCGAACCCGCCCACCACUGGGACUUCGCUUCUGUCCUAAAAGAGCUGACUCCCUAGUGAAAAUACUAAUGUAUACAAAUGGGCUGUGCCUUCAGGACAGAAAGAAGGUUCAUUUAAAAUUCCUGUAAAAGGGUCUAUUCGGCUCCAGUGUUUCUGCAUCUAGCAGCUGCUGAAGACAGAGCAUCUCGUGGAUUUAGGAAACAGUCAAAGGAUUUGGUAAUGACUGGAGGAAAGCAAUCUCAGGAAGACUUGUACGCACUUUACUACAUUAUUUACAUAAAGUGAACUCUGAAGAAUAUACCACGGAGUCAGAAAUCAAGUUCGGCUCCCUAAGGAGCUGAGGGUAACCAAGAACCAGGGGCCAAAGCCAGUGGCUUGGGCAGGUGUGCUUUGGUCUCAUCCUCUUUGCUCCUUUGCUUCUUGUCUGGAAUGCCCACUUCUUGCUAGAGGGCCUCUUGCUGAAAAGCUUUCAUCUUUUUUUUUUUUUUUUUAAUCUUUUUUUUUUUUUUAGGGCUGCUCCCACAGCAUAUGGAGGUUCCCAGGCUAGGGGUCCAAUCAGAGCAUAGCCGCUGGCCUGCACCACAGCCACAGCCGUGCCAGAUCCGAGCCACGUCUGCGACCUACACCAGAGUUCACAGCAAUGCCGGAUCCUUAACCCACUGAGCGAGGCCCAGGAUCAAACCUGCAUCCUCAUGGAUCCUAGUCAGGUUUGUUAGCCGCUGAGCCACGAAGGGAACCCCCAGUUAUUUAUUUAUUUAUUUAUUUUCAGUGAAACACAGCAGGUGGUUUGUUGUCCAUCAUAGGAAGAAAAAAGCAUGGCAGCUUUGCACAAGUACGGUUCUUCCACCUUCCUGACUUCCGUGUGUGUGAACGUGUGUCACACGCCAGCUGCCAAUCAGGGAACCCACUGCGAAGAUGAGCUGGUACCAGUGCCCUUAACCCCGAACCAGACAAACAGCAGGAAUGAGGGGAAAACCCUCCCUCAGGGUCAUUCGCCUCGAGCUGGCGAGUGGGCGUGUGAUCCUAGGAAAGGAAUCUACCUUUUCUUUUUUUAUUUCCUUUUUAAAAAUGAAAGUGUAGUUGAUUUACAGUGAUUCAUGUGCCCCGCAAAGUGAUUUAAUGAUAUUUUGGAGUCCCCUGGCGGCUCAGCAGGUUAAGGAUCCAGCAUGGUCACUGCUGUGGCUUAGGUUACUGCAGGGGUACGGGUUUGAUCCCUGGCUUGGGAACUUCACAUGCCACAAGCGUGGCCGAAUAAAAUCAUAAAAUAAAAUAAAGAUUUUAGGAUAUUUAAUG